ensembl:lncRNA
CUGGGAGUUUUCAGGUCACCGCGGUGGUGUCGGUUGGUGCCAGCGUCCUUCUGAGAAUUACCUUGGUUUCUAGAGAAGACCAAAUAGAACAGUUACAUCUCAAAAGACAGUGAAAGAGUGCAAGUUCCACCAAGAAGGAUCCCGGUUUGUAAGUCCAAAUAAUUUACGAAAUCUGAAAACAUUUUGAGAUGAAUUGGGGAGGUUUGGGGAUUGGUUAAAAAAAGAAAAAGGAAAAAAAGCAAAGGAAUGAGUGUGCUGUGAAUUGUUUCUAGAGGCAUUUCUGUUCUUGUAAAGACUCUAUCUGUAAUACAAGUAAAGUGUUUUUAAUUUCUCAAAUAAUUGGACUGCAACCUGAAUAUUAAGAGACUGACUCAACUAUCCAACCACUUAUCCUCAAUGUGUUUUCUUUAUGCCAGGGAGAAGAUCUUCCACUAAGGUAAAAAUCAGAAAAUUUUAUUGUUUCAGAUUUAGAGUUCUGUGUCUUUGGAAUAUUUUAGUAUAUCCUUCCACAAAGGCUUCCUAAUGUGUUUCUUUCCUUCUGGGUACAAAGUUUUAAUUUUAGUUUAGAGGACAAAAGCUAAAAAAAUCAUUGCUCUCAGCCUUUUAAAAUCAGCUUCCAAUUUGACCAACUUCUAAUAAUAGAGCUACUUUAAUAUAAGUUUUAAAAAAUCCUCUCAAAUACUUUGUCAGGUUUCAGCUGUAACAGACAGUAAAUAUUCCUGACUAUUAAACAACCCCAUGGAUGCAAAGGCUUCCCUUGUGUCUCAGCUGGUAAAGAAUCUGCCUGCAAUGUGGAAGACCUGGGUUCGAUCCCUGGUUUGGGAAGAUCUGGAGAAGGGAAAUGCUACCCAUUCCAGUAUUCCGGCCUGGAGAAUUCCGUAGACUGUAUAGUCCAUGGGGUUGCAAAGAGUCGGACAUGACUGAGCCAGUUUCACUGGAUGCAAGGGGCAUUUCCCCAGGAGGGUACAAAAGAUCCCGCUCCCCCAAGAUCUGGCAUCACCUGCAAGACAGCCAAAGCAAAGACUCAAGAGUUCUCCCAAGAUCUGGCAGUCUCAGUGGGUUGCAACCCACGUGUCUUCCAGGCUAUAUUUGCAGACUCCAACCUGAGAACUGUCAAGCCAAGUUCUCAGUUCACAAAUGAGACAAACCAGCAGGCAUAGCUGUCCCUGGGAGAGAGAGUCACCACCAGUGAGCAUCUAGAAAUCUAAGUCAUAAGUCACAACCCGAAGAUCUAAUUCUCACAAAUGGGAUUUGGAAACUGUUCUUCCUCUUGGCCAAGCCCCACAGUAGAGAUCUGGGAGAGCUGCUGCUGCUGCUGCUAAGUCGCUUCAGUCGUGUCCGACUCUGUGCGACCCCAUAGAUGGCAGCACACCAGGCUACCCCGUCCCUGGGAUUCUCCAGGCAAGAACACUGGAGUGGGUUGCCAUUUCCUUCUCCAAUGCGUGAAAAGUAAAAGUGAAGUCGCUCAGUUGUGUCCGACUCUUCACGACCCCAUGGACUGCAGCCUACCAGGCUCCUCUGCCCAUGGGAUUUCCCAGGCAAGAGUACUGGAGUGGGGUGCCAUUGCCUUCUCCGGCUGGGAGAGCUGACUUUGGUCAAAACCCCCACCCUUUGCCGGGUUCGCCAGUUUCCCCAGGAUCCUGGCUGCAGGCCCUGGAGCUGGUAGGGUGUCCCAGCAGGUCUCAUCCAGGUCCCCAGAGACUGUAGAGAAGGAAAGAUAAUGUUCCCUCUAUCCUUUCUGGUGAGUGCUUGUCUGAGACCCUUUUUCUCUAGGGCACCUCCUGAGUGGUGGUGAAAAGCCCUCUAUUAAUGGCCUCAGUAGUUCAGGUUAUCUUUGUGAGUUGAGUCUGCCUGUUGAGCCUAAUAACAAAACUUGAUUCACCUGUGGUGCCAGGCAGAGCCCGGUCCAGCUUACGGCAGUCCCCAUCCACCCCAGACCCAGGCUGGCUUCUGUGCCAGAUCCAGCCGGACUCCAGCCAGUUUCAGGACCCAGCACAGACAAAGGAAUGCUCAGUUGAAGUCUGAAAGCUCAGACUAGGUUCCGGGGGGACUCACUCAUGACCUCCGGAGCCGGCAAGAAACUGUGAGCUUGGGGCACAGCAGGUACUUGCAUUUGCUUGCUCUUUGCUGUUGUGUGUGGGGGUGGGGUGGGGUUUAUUUCACUCUCUCUUCUGAUGCUGGCACUGUUAAAGGAUAAACUGAGUCAUAUUUAUUUAUUUGAGCAGAAAUCAAUUUGAAUCAUGUAGUAGCCAAUGUAGAAAGUAGCAGCUUGAAGGAGCUGUACAAAAUGAAAGAUUUUGACAGGCGGAAGGGAAUGCAAACAAGGUGGUUACACCAGCAUCACCGUCCCCCCCCCCCCCCAAAAAAAAAAAGGCAGAUUGGUUGGUUGAAGAUUACUUUCCUUUAGGGCAACAGGGACUGUUUUUGUGCAAGACAAUCUUUCCACGGACUGGGGGUGGGGUUUCGGGAUGAGUCAAGCGCAUUAUAUUUACUGUGCAGUUUAUUUCUAAUCUAAUGCCACCACUGAUCUGGCAGGAGAUACCAGUCAGCGACUCACAGCUUGGAGACCCCUGCUUUAGGGGAGGACAGAGGGCUUCGUGAGCAGAUUAUCUAACUAGUACUGAUCAGAUGGUUCCUGAUUGACUGGCUUACCUUUCCAUAUCUGGAAGAACCAAAACUAUUCUUGUAAGUCUUAGUUUGAUGAUGUGGAGCUAAAUGAUUCCAUUUUGAGGGCUGUCCUCUUGUUUUCAACCAUAUGCAUGGCUCGUUUGUUUAGCUCAGUUGUCUGGGGAGAUGGCAGAGCAUGAACCUUCAGGGGCUGGAAUGCCUGCCUGAUUGGGAAGGGAAGCCACAUCACCAGAUGAUACAGAGGAGUGUCUACAAAUCUGUCCAGACUUUUAAAAUAUUAACUUAGUAGCAGUUGUAAGGUUUACAGAAACUUCAAGGCUCUCACUGCUAUGAAGUUAAGUAUAGUUUAAACAGCCUAAGAUAGCCUGGAAGAAUUAUCCUAAGAUAAAGAAAUGCUAUUAAAAAGUUAGAUGUAAUUGAAGAGAAGUGUUACAAAUUUCUGUUCAGGGUUUUUGGAGGAGGAAUGAGUCAUUUGUGCUGGGGUAAUCAGGAUAAAUUAAUGCCAGCUGAAGUUUAGAAGAGGCGAAACAGGUUGAGAAAGCAAGGAAAACGUGCACUGUCUUUUCAAUUAAUUUUUGUUAGCACCUGCACUGAGCCUUCGUGUUCUUGAUACACCCUUGGGGGCCAGGCCAAGCCUUCAGGAAAAUAAGAAGCUGUAUGUAUGAUACAGUACAUGAAAAAACUGGUCUCUCUGCGCAUUGCCCUCUAUAGCUAUCUCUGGUUCUUCUGUCUAAAAGAACAGAACUUUGUUGUGCAUGCUCAGUCGCUUCAGUCAUGUCCAGCUCUCUGCGACCCCAUGGACUGUAGCCCACCAGGCUCCUCUGUCCAUGGAAUUCUUCAGUCAAGAUUACUAGAGUGAGUUGCCAUUUCCUCCUCCAGGGAAUCUUCCUGACCCAGGACUCAAACCCACAUCUCCCUGUGUAAUACUAUGAUAAGUCAAGACAGUUAUAUGUUGUUUUUAUUUAAAUUUAGAGUGCAUUACACAGUUUUCUUUGGUCAAAAGCUUAUUUUUCUAAAUGGAACUUACUUGUGACUAGCAAUACUGUGGGAGAGUUCUCAAGUUCCAGAUUUUAAAACGUUUAGUUGAUCAGUUGUGUCUGACUCUUACAACCCCUAUGGACUGUAGCCCACCAGGCUCCUCUGUCUAUAGGAUUUCUCAGGCAAGAAUACUGGAGUGGUUUGCCAUUUUCUUCCUCCAGGGGAAUCUUUCAGACCCAGGAAUUGAAUCCUCAUUCCUGCAUUGACAGGCAGAUUCUUUACCGCGGAGUAACCAGGGAAGCCCCUUUUAAAACAUAAGGCGACAACCUAUCGGCAUGAUUAAUUCAUAUAAUCUUCCCUUGGCACACUUUUCAUCUGUAAGAUGGAGGAAAAAGAGUGUUAUUUUUUAUCUUAGAAAGUUUGGGGAAUAAGUUAGGAGAUGUGAGAGAAUGGUAAAGUACUACGAGAAUUCAGUUGUUUAAUUGGCAUUUGCCAAGCAAUUGAUGUCAGCGAGGAGGCAGCCCAGAAAUCAGCAAAAAGAAAUUUUGCCAUUCAGAAUUUUCUAUAGGACUAAUAAAGAGUUGGCUGGAUACCUAGAAGGCAUUCUGUAAAGUAAGCACUUUGAUUUUCUUGACUGUCUUAAACGAGAAUUAAAAAGAAUGUUUUCCAUUCUCUAAAAUUUGGUUUAAAUUCUUAAAAAGAUGGUCCAUGGCAGGAUUGUGAGAUUUCCGGAAUGUCUGAAAAGCAGCACCCUCCAGCCUUCCCCAUGGAAGCUUAAACGAUGUUACCAAUAGAGCCUUCCUGUGUUGGGUGAGGAGGGGGCACAGGUGGCUGUAGGCGCCCCUCUUUGGCUCUAAACUUUACGGCUUUCAAUUUAUCAGUCUCCGAAGGAUGACGAGUUGAGUCUCUCCUGAUAGCAUUUGAAGCUGUGGUUCCACAGAGGAUUUAACGCUGUAGUUGCAGGGAGUCUGGGUAUUUCAAAUCUGAGGCUUAAAAAACUAAGCCAUCCCCUCCGGCUUUUGCACUGAUGCUGUGAAAUCCAUUUGAGAAACAUGCUCGUGUUUUGCUACUCGUUCAAAGCUGUAAGCGUGACUUGGCAUUGAAAUAAUAAUUUCUUUUUUCAAAAGCUCCCUGCUGAACUACUACCAGGGUUAUCUAAAUAUAGGUUAUUUAUUUGAUUGGCAUAUGCUCUUGUCAGUUUUGCAGACAGUAAGUAGUGAUGGCGGCUAAUGUUACGACAUUGUGGUACCGCGUUUCUCAUUUCUGUCCAAUUUUACACUCAUCCUGGGACACCUGAUGGUUCUACCUGAUUGAAUAUUCUAGAUGUAAUUAGAGUCAUUAUAUAGAAAUGUGUUAUCUUAUUAUUCUCUAAAUGAGAAACCAAAGAAUUCUUUCUUUCUGAAAUAUUUUUUCUGGUUCACGCCCUUGAACCCAUUUGUCAAAUCAUAGGAGAUUAAAAUCCCGAACUUUUUUUUUUUUAACUUUUUAACCUUUAAAAAUCAUCUUGGUGACUUACAGGACCAAGAUUGUGUAGUAGAAGAUGGCCUGAUUAAGUGACUUCAAGGAAGAGUCUGGAUGUCACUUUUGUGUCAGUGUAAUACAUAAUAGGAAGAACAUAUACAGAAAGAGGUCAGAUACUGAGGGGACCUUGAGAACUCAAGACUUUUGUAAGUUUCUGAAGUCUUUUUGAAAGAUUUUUGGACUUCAUCAGAGUAUAAAUUUGGAGUCUGAGCCCCUGUUAUUUAGAUCUCAGGGAUCAGAAGAACCUGAUUCAAAAUCAGAAUGAUGACCUUGGUGCUCAGGUUGAAAGGAACAGGGCCAUUCUCCCUCUGCAAUAGAAAGAUGAUAAGAUGAUUAUUUUUGAGAAUAAGAGAUUAAAGGAAAACAGGGGACUUUGUACCUGAUAAUCUUGAUCUUCUCUGGGAGUCAUAAAAAUGGCCUGCCAAGAUUAUAGUGAGUGUGAAACGGUGACUAGAAACUGGUGAGGGAUUUUAGAAGUUUCAUUAUUUCAAGUAUUCAUAAAGGUGGGCAGUAAUUGAACAGAACAGAUGGUGGAGCAGGAAGGCAGAUCCCCAUUUGACAUCAAGUUGCCUGAUGUUGCCGAAUCCUAAAUAAUCACCGUCUUUGCUUUUCUCCAGUAUCAUUUUAAGUGACCUGACUUAUAAUGUAAAAAGUGAUAAUCAUCCUGUACUUGGUUGGUGGGAAGUUUGUUGGUUUUGCUCAUAGUGGCAACAUCCAGACUGAAUGGUGUGUGUGUGUAUGUGUGUUUAAUGAAGAGUCAGUAGCCCGGGUGAAUAG